rnacentral:rRNA from 1 species
GGGACACGUGGUAUCCUGUCUGAAUAUGGGGGGACCAUCCUCCAAGGCUAAAUACUCCUGACUGACCGAUAGUGAACCAGUACCGUGAGGGAAAGGCGAAAAGAACCCCGGCGAGGGGAGUGAAAAAGAACCUGAAACCGUGUACGUACAAGCAGUGGGAGCCUCUUAAUGGGGUGACUGCGUACCUUUUGUAUAAUGGGUCAGCGACUUAUAUUCUGUAGCAAGGUUAACCGAAUAGGGGAGCCGAAGGGAAACCGAGUCUUAACUGGGCGCUAAGUUGCAGGGUAUAGACCCGAAACCCGGUGAUCUAGCCAUGGGCAGGUUGAAGGUUGGGUAACACUAACUGGAGGACCGAACCGACUAAUGUUGAAAAAUUAGCGGAUGACUUGUGGCUGGGGGUGAAAGGCCAAUCAAACCGGGAGAUAGCUGGUUCUCCCCGAAAGCUAUUUAGGUAGCGCCUCGUGAAUUCAUCUCCGGGGGUAGAGCACUGUUUCGGCAAGGGGGUCAUCCCGACUUACCAACCCGAUGCAAACUGCGAAUACCGGAGAAUGUUAUCACGGGAGACACACGGCGGGUGCUAACGUCCGUCGUGAAGAGGGAAACAACCCAGACCGCCAGCUAAGGUCCCAAAGUCAUGGUUAAGUGGGAAACGAUGUGGGAAGGCCCAGACAGCCAGGAUGUUGGCUUAGAAGCAGCCAUCAUUUAAAGAAAGCGUAAUAGCUCACUGGUCGAGUCGGCCUGCGCGGAAGAUGUAACGGGGCUAAACCAUGCACCGAAGCUGCGGCAGCGACACUAUGUGUUGUUGGGUAGGGGAGCGUUCUGUAAGCCUGUGAAGGUGGCCUGUGAGGGUUGCUGGAGGUAUCAGAAGUGCGAAUGCUGACAUAAGUAACGAUAAAGCGGGUGAAAAGCCCGCUCGCCGGAAGACCAAGGGUUCCUGUCCAACGUUAAUCGGGGCAGGGUGAGUCGACCCCUAAGGCGAGGCCGAAAGGCGUAGUCGAUGGGAAACAGGUUAAUAUUCCUGUACUUGGUGUUACUGCGAAGGGGGGACGGAGAAGGCUAUGUUGGCCGGGCGACGGUUGUCCCGGUU